rnacentral:rRNA from 1 species
GACGAACGCUGGCGGCGUGCCUAACACAUGCAAGUCGAGCGGAGCCAACCAGACAAUCCCUUCGGGGUGCGACUGGGGAAGCUUAGCGGCGGACGGGUGAGUAACGCGUGAGUAACCUGCCCAUUAGUGGGGAAUAACACAGAGAAAUUUGUGCUAAUACCGCAUACGGAACAGUUACCGCAUGGUAGCAGUUUGAAAGAUUUAUCGCUAAUGGAUGGACUCGCGUCUGAUUAGAUAGUUGGUAGGGUAACGGCCUACCAAGUCGACGAUCAGUAGCCGAACUGAGAGGUUGAUCGGCCACAUUGGGACUGAGACACGGCCCAG